AUAGGAAGGAACUCGGCAAACAUGAACUUCGCCUGUUUACCAAAAACAUCGCCUCUUGCAAUUAAGGAUAAGAGGUCCUGCCUGCCCAGUGACAUUAAGUUUAACGGCCGCGGUAUUAUGACCGUGCAAAGGUAGCGUAAUCACUUGUCUUUUAAAUAAAGACCAGUAUGAAUGGCAAGACGAAAGUUCAACUGGUCUCCCUAAAUUAAUCAGUGAAAUUGAUUUCUCCGUGCAGAAGCGGAGAUAAAAUUAUAAGACGAGAAGACGACCCUAUGGAGCUUUAAACAUAUAAUCAAUUGUAUUCCAUAAAAUCCGAAAGAUAAAAUAUAAUAAAAUAAAACAAUAUGAUUAAAAUUUUAGGUUGGGGCGACCACGGAGAAAAACAAAACCUCCGAGAUGAAAAGAAUAUCUUAAUUUAAGAACCACAAUUCCAAAAAAUAAAAUAUUUAACAACAUAAUUGAUCCAAUAUUUUGAUCAACGAACCAAGUUACCCUAGGGAUAACAGCGCAAUCCUCUCCAAGAGUCCCUAUCGACGAGUGGGUUUACGACCUCGAUGUGGAUCAGACACCCCGAUGGUGCAGCCGCUAUUAAAGGUUCGUUUGUUCGCAACGAUUAAAGUCCUACGUGAUCUGG
rnacentral:rRNA from 1 species